GCGGAAGUAGUUCAGUGGUAGAACACCACCUUGCCAAGGUGGGGGUCGCAGGUUCGAACCUGUCUUCCGCUCCA
rnacentral:tRNA from 1 species